rnacentral:piRNA from 1 species
CAACUUGGUUAUUGUAAAAAAAG